rnacentral:rRNA from 1 species
GUGACCUCGGAUCAGGUAGGAAGCCCAG